UUUCAGUUAAAUAUAUAGUUUUAAUAGCACAUAGGUACUCACAACUAGUAAUUCUGGCAAAGGUUUAGUUAUUACUGCAUGUUAUCGGUGGCACCUGCAUUGUGAUUGACGACUCAUUUGUUUAUGCGCUCGUCUAAGUGCAUAACAAACGAGUCACCGAAUUUUCGAAAAAAAAAAAUUCGAAGAGCUAAGUACUUCCAUCUCGAGAGCGCAAGUGAUGUAUAAAGAGCUAAGCACUUAUCUUCAGAGACAGUACUUAGGCUCUGCUUUUCGAAUAGUCGCUCGUGUACUUCGGAUGAAUAGCGUUUCUAAAUUACUGGAAAGGUAAUACUUUUGCCAGAUUUGUUUUGCCGUUGUCUUUCGAUUUUGUUAAGUUCCAGUGCUGCAACUCUUCCUUGGAUUUUUCUUCUACUAUGGAAAUAGAACGUCUUUCUUUUGCUUUUUACUUGAGUCUUCGAGCGGUUUUCUGUGCUCCUUUUCUGUAGAGUGUAGAUGUUACCGCUUCCGUAGUACAUACUGCAAGAUUAGGAACAUGGGAAUUCAUAUCCACUGGCUCAGAUAAGGAUGAAGAUGUUAUCGGUGGCACCUGCAUUGUGAUUGACGACUCAUUUGUUUGUGCGCUCGUCUAAGCGUAUAUGUACUAAUAAGUCAUCGAAAAAUGCUCGUCUCUGAUUGGCUGAAUAAUUUUCAGUCAUGUAUAUGUUCACUACUUGAGUUAUUAACACUGAAUGUAAAUACAAAGACAUUCAUUAAGUAUCUCUAGUUUCGCUCUUGUCGCUUAUUUGUGAACACAGUGAAAUACUGUUAUUUUUAUAUUUACUUUCGAAAUACGGCUGGAUUUUGUACCAACCUAGGUCUUUUUGUGAAAUUAAGAAGUGGUGGUGAUUUGAAAAAUUAUAUGUUUCUAUAUGAAAAGUAUAAUUUCUGUUUUGAAUACCACAGUUUCUGAAGAAGACAAAAACCUAAUCAAGGAGUUCUGUCGGCUUUUUUGUGCAAGUCUAAAUAAAAAGUGGAUCGAGUCAAGUAGAAGUAAAAAAACUUUUAUGAAUCGUGUAAAUAAUCGCAAGUGGUUGGAAAAAAACAUCAGCUGGCCUGUUUGUGAUAGUGUUGACCUGAGAAGUGAGUUGGGCUUUUCGGACGCAGCCUUAUCUGAGCCAGUGGAUAUGAAUUCCCAUGUUCCUAAUCUUGCAGUAUGUACUACGGAAGCGGUAACAUCUACACUCUACAGAAAAGGAGCAUAGAAAACCGCUCGAAGACUCAAGUAAUAAGCAAAAGAAAGAGGUUUUACUUCCAUAGUAGAAGAAAAUUCCAAGGAAGAGUUGCAGCACUGGAACUUAACAAAAUCGAAAGACGACGGCAAAACGAAUCUGGCAAAAGUAGUACCUUUCCAGUAAUCUAGAAACGCUAUCCAUCUGAAGUACACGAGCGACUAUUCGAAAAGCAGAGCCUAAGUACUGUCUCUGAAGAUAAGUGCUUAGCUCUUUAUACAUCACUUGCGCUCUCGAGAUGGAAGUACUUAGCUCUUCGAUUUUUUUUUUCGAAAAUUCAGUGACUCGUUUGUUAUGCACUUAGACGAGCGCAUAAACAAAUGAGUCGUCAAUCACAAUGCAGGUGCCACCGAUAACAUGCAGUAAUAACUAAACCUUUGCCAGAAUUACUAGUUACAAACUAUCAACUUUAGAAGAAAUUUCACAAGAGUAAAAGUUGUUUGGAAUAUCAUGAAGAAUCACAUAAAAAAAUUUCGAAUCGAUAUUGGACCUUUGUUGCCUAUGUCCACUAAUUUUCAAAACGGAUCCACUGUGCGGCGGGCCUGUUUUCCGUGCAUCACUAAAUUUAUUAUAAAAACCAAUAUGUAUGUGCAAUGAAAGACGUGGUUUGGAACGAAUAGUUUUAUUGUUAUAAAAAUAUUUACUUACA